GUACUUGCGUAUACGUUUCUCUUGGGAAUGACUUCAAGAAUCGAGCCCCUGAUUCUUUUCCUCUGGGUCACUUUCUAGAACUGGCCAAUCACAGUUAUUCCCUUCUUCAGAAGAAUGGCUGUGAUUGGCCUUAUGACGCUCCCAGAGUGAUUAAUCCAGGCCGGUCCAAAACGCUAUAUGAUAAGAAAAACUGCUCAAAAAUUUCAAAAUAUACUAUUCGUAUUGAAAAUCCAAUCUUUUUCAUAAUAUGAGCUUUCCAGCAAGUGACACCGCAGUAUUUCUGCCUUUGUUUGAUAUUUAGUGAGAAACAAAGACCAAAUUACUGCUAUGUUAAUUUGUGUCUCUUACUGGAAAGCUCCCAAUAAAAUGACGACUAAAUAAUGAAAAAUUAAUAAUUCUAUUUUCAUAUUAUAAUUAAUAUAGUCUAAAAGCGACUUGUGGCCUUUUUUGCAUCAAGUCGUCGAGGUACAUUUUCAAAAGUGAUAUCACACUGGACGUGCAGUUCGAGUGUGGUGCUAUAGGGUGUAAACGCUACAGAAUUCUCGACACGUAAAGAACUAACCGCAUGAAAGAGACGAAGCCGUUUCAUUCCAUUAUUUUAUCGCUUUCAGAACGCAGCGGACGCAGGAUGGACCGGCGCGCGGCGCCGGGGCAAAUGUCGCGCCAUAUCUCGGUAAGUCAAAUCUACAUCGUAACUUGGGCUAAGUUCCCAGUCUUAACAUUGUGCUCAUGCAUAUUUUUCAUAUAUUGAACAAUAUGCGUUACUCGCAAAAAGACAGUCGCAUUAUCGAUUAUUCAUAUGGACAAUCGACAUGUAAGGACGCGUGUCCAGCGAUGUCAAUAUCGAAUCAUCUUUUUCACACCACCAUCGUGCUGCACGGAGAGGAUGGCUGGCAGCAAGAAUGCUGCAAAAGGAUUUGGCGAUUUGUUACUUUUGGCGCGUGAAGUUAACCGCGGGACGCGGCGUCACCUUUGACGCGUGAAGUUGACCGUGCGAGAGUGACGAAGCCGUUUCACUCCACCUUUCUGCGUGUCGCUGUUAGAACGUAACGGACGCAAGGUAAAUUGGCUUCGGAAUAAGUGGCAUCGCGAAUCUCUUAACCGAUUGUUGUAGAUCGCGGCAAGUAGUCUGACAUGCGACCGGUGCCGGAGGGCAAAUGUCGCGCCAUAUCUACUUGCUAAGUCAAAUCUGCAUCGUAACUUGGGCUAAAUCCCCAGUCUUUACUUUGCAUUUAUGGGCAAUACGCGUUACUCGCAAUAUCGGAAAAAGACAGCCGUCGCAUAAUCGAUUAUUAUAUUCGUGUGGGCAAUCGGGACAUGUAGGGACGCGUACCCAGCGAUGCCGAACGCGACGGACGCAGAAUGAACCGAUUCCGGAAAGAGUGGCAUCGCGAAUCACUUAAUUGAUCGUGGCAAUUCUGAUAUGGAUCGGUUUCGAGGCGGAUGACAUCGUGAUAUUUAUUUGAACGCGACAACAGAGUUGCCCCGAAUGACAUAGCAAAUUAUUUUUUAAUUGCAAGGAAGAAGA